rnacentral:rRNA from 1 species
CCUACGGGAGGCAGCAGUGAGGAAUUUUGGACAAUGGGCGAAAGCCUGAUCCAGCAACGCCGCGUGGGUGACGAAGGCCUUCGGGUUGUAAAGCCCUUUCGGGAGGAACGAGAAAGGACGGUACCUCCAGAAGAAGCACCGGCUAACUCUGUGCCAGCAGCCGCGGUAAGACGGAGGGUGCAAGCGUUGUCCGGAAUUACUGGGCGUAAAGCAGGUGCAGGCGGCUCGUUAUGUCGGGUGUGAAAUCCCAGGACUAAAUUCUGGAACUGCGCCCGAAACUGGCGAGCUUGAGUGCGGGAGGGGGUGGUGGAAUUCCCGGUGUAGAGGUAAAAUUCGUAGAUAUCGGGAGGAAUACCGGUGGCGAAGGCGACCCCCUGGCCCGUAGCUGACGCUCAGACCUGAAAGCGUGGGGAGCAAACGAAAUUAGAUCCCCCGGUAGU